rnacentral:rRNA from 1 species
CAUAACGUCAUUUAUUUGAUGUUGUGGGAAAUUAGGACUGCUACCUUGAAAAAAUUAGAGUGUUUAAAGCAGGCCAACGCUUGAAUACAUUAGCAUGGAAUAAUGAAAUAGGACAUCGCAUUCUAUUUUGUUGGUUUCUAGGAUCGAUGUAAUGAUUAAUAGGGAUAGUUGGGGGCAUUAGUAUUCAAUUGUCAGAGGUGAAAUUCUUGGAUUUAUUGAAGACUAACUACUGCGAAAGCAUUUGCCAAGGAUGUUUUCAUUAAUCAAGAACGAAAGUUAGGGGAUCGAAGACGAUCAGAUACCGUCGUAGUCUUAACCAUAAACUAUGCCGACUAGGGAUCGGAUGAUGUUAAUUUUUUAAUGACUCAUUCGGCGCCUUACGGGAAACCAAAGUGUUUGGGUUCCGGGGGGAGUAUGGUCGCAAGGCUGAAACUUAAAGGAAUUGACGGAAGGGCACCACCAGGCGUGGAGCCUGCG